rnacentral:rRNA from 1 species
UACGUAGGGUGCGAGCGUUGUCCGGAAUUAUUGGGCGUAAAGAGCUCGUAGGCGGCCUGUUGCGUCGGUUGUGAAAGCCCGGGGCUUAACCCCGGGUCUGCAGUCGAUACGGGCAGGCUAGAGUUCGGUAGGGGAGAUCGGAAUUCCUGGUGUAGCGGUGAAAUGCGCAGAUAUCAGGAGGAACACCGGUGGCGAAGGCGGAUCUCUGGGCCGAUACUGACGCUGAGGAGCGAAAGCUAGGGGAGCAAACGGG